rnacentral:misc_RNA from 1 species
UCACGGUUUGCACCGGCAGUCUGGUUAGAGUCCCCAUCUUUACAUGCUGGUAACUAACCACAGGGGUUGCGCUCGUUAUAGGACUUAACCUGACACCUCACGGCACGAGCUGACGACAACCAUGCAGCACCUUGUGAAUUGUCCGAAGAAAUAACUGUUUCCAAUUACGUCAAUCCACAUUUAAGCCUUGGUAAGGUUCCUCGCGUAUCAUCGAAUUAAACCACAUGCUCCACCGCUUGUGCGGGCCCCCGUCAAUUCCUUUGAGUUUCAUUCUUGCGAACGUACUCCCCAGGUGGGAUACUUAUCACUUUCGCUUAACCACUGAUCCUUGCGAACCAACAGCUAGUAUCCAUCGUUUACGGCGUGGACUAC